rnacentral:rRNA from 1 species
UACAGAGACUGCAAGCGUUAUUCGGAUUCACUGGGCGUAAAGGGUGCGCAGGCGGUCGGGUGUGUCAGAUGUGAAAUCCCGAGGCUCAACCUCGGAACUGCGUCUGAAAACUACUCGACUAGAGUACUGGAGAGGGUAACGGAAUUCACGGUGUAGCAGUGAAAUGCGUAGAUAUCGAUGAGGAACACCAGAGGCGAAGGCGGUUACCUGGACAGUUACUGACGCUCAGGCACGAAAGCAUGGGGAGCAAAAGGG